rnacentral:rRNA from 1 species
AGUGAACGCUGGCGGCGUGCUUAACACAUGCAAGUCGAACGAGAACGGAUUAUAGCUUGCUAUAAUUGUAAGCUAAGGUGCGCACGGGUGAGUAAUGUAUAGGUAAUAUGCCUCUUACUAAGGGAUAACAAAUGGAAACGUUUGCUAAUACCUUAUACCUCUUAUUAACAGAAGUUAACAAGGGAAAGAUUUAUUGGUAAGAGAUUAGCCUGUAUUGUAUCAGUUAGUUGGUGGGGUAGUGGCUUACCAAGACUAUGACACAUGACUUGUUUGAUAUGAUGAUCAGUCACACUGGAAAUGAGACACGGUCCAGUCUCCUACGGGAGGCAGCAGUGGAGAAUAUUGCACAAUGGACGAAAGUCUGAUGCAGCAACGCCGCGUGGAGGAUGACACAUUUCGGUGCGUAAACUCCUUUUAUAUGAGAAGAGAAUGACGGUAUUAUAUGAAUAAGCACCGGCUAACCCCGUGCCAGCCGCCGCCGUAA